GAUGAACGCUGGCGGCGUGCCUAACACAUGCAAGUCGAGCGGACGGACGAGGCUUUUGCUUGGAUGAUGUGAGCGGCGGGUGGGUGAUUCACACGAGUCUACCUUGCCUUUAAGUCUGACAUCCUUUAGCGAACGCGUAUACUACAUCGGAUCAUAUUUUGAACCGCGUGGUUCUUCGGACAACGCCGGUCUUGCUGUCACUAAUAGGUGUUUCCGAGCUGGUUUAGCUAGUUGGUACGGUAACGGCUUACCAAGGCGACGAUGCAUAGACGACCUGAGAGGGUGAUCGGCCACACUGGAACUGAGACACGGUCCAGACUCCUACGGGAGGCAGCAGUGGGGAAUCUUGCGCAAUGGGCGAAAGCCUGACGCAGCAACGCCGCGUGUGUGACGAAGGUCUUCGGAUCGUAAAGCUCUUUUAGUUGGGAGGAACAUCUGUCAAAUUAUAUGUUGCCGUCUUGACGGUACCUAAUCAAAAAGCACCGGCUAACUACGUG
rnacentral:rRNA from 1 species